rnacentral:lncRNA from 1 species
GGGUGGUAGAGGGAAUGUUGAUGAACGUCACUUGGUCAUUUAAGGUCAAAAGCAGCUCAAGACACUUCAUCAGGGUUCACUUCUGUGAUAUCAAGAGUGAAUCACAAAAUCCCGACUCCGAUUUCUAUCUCUAUGUAAACGGACAAUCACGACUAGAUGUAAAGCCUUCAGAGCGUNNNNNNNNNNNNNNNNNNNNNNNNNNNNNNNNNNNNNNNNNNNNNNNNNNNNNNNNNNNNNNNNNNNNNNNNNNNNNNNNNNNNNNNNNNNNNNNNNNNNAUAUAAAUCAUAAAUAUUAUUUAUUUAAAAUUCUACUUGAAAAGCCUUUAAAUAAAGUAACUUAAACUUGUAUAAGUAGUAUAUUUUAUAUAUAUAAAAAAUAAAUUUGUAACUAAAAAAGUGAUAAUAGAGAUUUUAAUAUUAUGGUGGUUUAUUUUUGUUGUUAAUGGAGAUUUUUUAUUUUUAACCAUAAUAUUAGGAUUUGGAAACUUUUUUGAAUUUUUAAAUGUUGAUAUGGAUGCCUUAAAAAUAAUAUGGCUAAACUGUUAUUAAUAAUAGAAUAGUUUAAAUUACAAAUUUUCCUAUAUUGUUUUGUAUUACCAAUGUAAUUUUAUAAUUUAAAAACUUUUUAAAUUUUAAUUAUUGAUGUAGACUAAAAACAUUGACCUUUUACAUGUUAUGUGGAUGUCUUUGGAAGCAUAUAGCUUCAGCUUUUAUUUUUCUAUAAAUAUUUUUUUUGUUAACAAUACAGUUUUAAAAUUUGAAAAUUUUCUAAAUUUUAGAUAUUGAUAUAAACCAAUAGAAUUGAAAUUUUAAAUCCUAUGUGGACACUCUUAGAGGUAUAUAGCUUCAGGUUUUAUUUGUAAUAUAUUUAGAUAUUAACACUGGAAGAUCCCACACGAGGCCCAUUGCGGUAAGUGAUUUUGGUUUCUCCUCUAUGUUUUGAGGCUUACGGAAUGUAUUCUGAUACUGUUUGAUUCAGCUAAUUGUUACCUUUGUGGUUCAGGUUGGAUUGCUAAACCCUUGUCAGACACCAUGUUAUUCCAAAGAUUUUCCUCGGAUACCUCAGUCUCUUCGCCUUAAUGCAGAACUUCUUUCUCUAUUUCUAGUGGUUCGUUUUUCAAAAAUUUUGGGUAUCAAUCACUUGACAUGUUUCUCGGAUUACUUGAAAUUUAUCAUUCUUCUCAAAUCUGGUGGCAAAACUUUAGAGAUUUUACAGUCUCUUUUUCAAUAUUAAAACAGCUUGUAGUGUCUUUGUUUUCAUCAUAAUCAUUUUAAUUUAGCUAAUAGUUAAACAUAUAGUUUAGUCAAGUUGGUUCUUAAUUUUACAUUGUAAUGAUUCAUUCUUUAGUGAAACCUAUCUCUAUUUUUUUGCUUUUUUAAUUGAAAUGGUUGUACAUACAUAAAAAAAACUUAAAAUUUAUUAUAGUUAUGUGAAAAAAAUUUGGAUGCUAAUGUAGGAGUAUGUAAAUAAAUUUAAAUAUUUUAUUUGUUCUUAAUUAUUUAUAUAAUUGAAACAUCUAACUUAAAUUUAAAUUUUCCUAUUUUAAAAUAUUUAUUUUAUUUUUAUUAUUAUUAAUAUAAAUUAUAUAUAUAAUUUAUUCAUCUUUAAUAAAAUUUUAAAACAAUAAUAGAAUUUAGAAACUUUUUUUAUUUUUAAUGUUGAGGUGGACCAAUAAAAAAUUUAUACAAAAUUUCUUUAUUAAACAAUAAUAUUAGAAUUUGUAAACUUUCUUAAUUUUUUUAUUUAACACUAAUAUUAAAAUUUGGAAAUUUUCUUAAUUUUGAAUGAUGAUGUGGACCAAUAAAAUUCUUAAUUUCCUUAUUUAAUAAUAAUAUUAAAAUUUGUAAAUUUUCCUAAUUUUGAAUGAUAAUGUGGGCCAAUAAAAUUGUAUUUUUUAAUCCUAUGUGAACGCCUUGAAAAGCUUAUAGCUUCAUGUUUUAUUAGUAUAAGAUUAUAUGCAAAUCUUAUAUUUUGCGUCCAUGCUAUGCGUGGAUAUUUGGUCGAUAAAAAUUAUAUUUAUCAAUAUAAAAAUUUUCUAUAUUAAUGUUUUAAUUAUAUAUUUAAAAUAUUAUAAUGUUAAUCUAAUAAUUUUUAUGUAAAUUAUAAGGUUUUAACGGUUUUUUUAAUCUAUAUAUAAUAUGUUAUAUUUCAAAAACGUAUUAUUUGGUCAAACACUUAUAAGUAAAAUUUUACAAAUUAAUCAAAUGCUAAUUUUAAAUAUAGUAUUGACAUGAUGAUAAAAUAUUAUACAUUCACUUUUUUAAAUCAUGAAGAUAUUUUUUUUUAUCAUUUUCACUUUUAUUUCAAUUAUAUAUGUGUUUUUUAAAAACAAUAAAAAUAAUUAUAUUUAAUUUUUUUUCCUUCUCUUGUAAUUAACUAAUAAAUAAAAUAUUUGCUUUUGAGGUUAAUAAUAACUAUAAACUUGAAAUCAAAACAGCAUAUGAAUAUAAAAUGAAUAAAAUCACUAAAAAUUUUUGAAUUAAAUAUAUUUUUGAUAAUUGGUUGUGUAAAAUUUUAAAUAAUUUUUUAAUUAUUAUUCCUCAUCUCUUCUAAUGAGAAUGAAAAAAAAUUUCAUCAUGUUCAUUUUUAUUUUUGUUAUAUCUGUUUUUUUAUGAAUAUGUCAUAUUUGUAUAUUUUAAUGAUUUGUGUAUGACUAUAUUCAGUUUCAUCAUAUUCAUUUUUACUUCUUUGAAUUAUAAUUAAGUAGGCAAAAUCGGUAUAAUUAAAUACAUUUAAUUUUUUAAAAAAAAAAAAAAUUGAACAACUCAAAACAAAGAGUUUCUACAUUAAUCUAUUGCAAUUCCAAGUCGAAUUUUUUUUAAAAAAAGAAAAUUUUGAUUAUUUUUCAGUAAUAUAUUACAUAAUAUUAUGUGAAUAUAUGUAUUGCAUAUGUUAAAACAUUUAUAUGAAUAUAAAUUAUAAUUAUUAGUUAUUUAAAAUUCAAUGUGAAAACCCUUAAAAUCAAGUAACUAAACUUGUAUAAGUAGCAUAUAUUUGUUUUGUAGAUGAUAAAUUAUAUUUGUAACUUAAACAGUGUUAAUGGAGAUUUUAAUAUCAUUUUGGUUUUUUGUGUUGUUAACAGAGAUUUCUUUAUUUUUUAAUUUAUUUUUUAACUAUAAUAUUAGAAUUAAGAGUUUUUUAAUUUACAUUUUUGUUAUAUACAAAUAAAAUUGAUAAUAGAAUAAUAUAACUUUAACUAUUAUUAAUAAUAGAAUAAUUUUAACUAACACUUUUACCUAAAUUGUUUUGUAUUAACAAUAUAAUUUUAUAAUUUAGAAUUUUUUUAAAACUUUAGUUAUUAAUGUAGACUAAUAAAAUUGACCUUUUAAAUCUUAUGUGUAUGUCCUUACAGGCAUAUAGCUUCAAAUUUUAUUUUUCUAUAAAUAUAUUUUUUUGUUAACAAUAUAAUUUUAAAAUUUAGAAAUUUUUUUAAAUUUAAAUAUUAAUAUGGACUAAUAAAAUUAAACUUUUAAAUCAUAUAUGGAUAUUCUUAGAGAAAUAUAGCUUUAAAUUUUAUUAAUAAUAGAUUUAGGAAUCAAACAUGGAGGAUGCCACACAAGGCUCGUUGCGGUAAUUGAUUUUGAUAUUUUCUCCUUGUUUUGAGGUUUACCGAAUGUAUUUGGAUGAUGUUUGGUCAGCUAAUUGUUACUUUUAUGGUUAAAAUUAGAUUUUUAAAAUCCUAUAAAAUGCCAUGUUAUUUUAAAAAAAAUUUUCGGAUAUCUUAGUCUCAUUCGUCUUAAUGACAAAACUUCUUUCUCUAUUUUCAGUGUUUUGUUUUUCAAAAGUAUCGAGUAUCAAUCACUUGACAUGUUUCUUGGAUUGGUUGGAAUUUAUCAUUCUUCUCAAAUUUGAUGGCUAAGCUUUAGAGAUUUUAUGAUCUUUUUUUCAAUAUUAAAGCGGCUUGUAGUGACUUUGUUUAUAUCUUCUUUCAUUAUAUUCUUUGUAAUUUAGCUAAUAGUUAAAAAUAUAAUUUAGUCAAGUUGAUUGUAUUUUUUUGUUUUUGUUAAUUUGAAAUAGUUGCACACAUAGAAAAAUUGGACGCUAAUGUAAGAGUCUCUAAAUAUGUAUGUAUAAAUCUAAUUUAAAUUUAUAUUUUCAUAGUUUAAUAUUAUUAUUUUAGUUUUUAUUAAUAUAAAUUUUAUAUAUGAUUUAUUUAUCUUUAAUAAUUUUUAAAAACAAUAAUAAAAUUUAGAAACAUUUAAAUUUUCAAUAUUGAGGUGGACCAAUAAAAAUUUUAUACAAAAAUUUCCUUAUCCAUCAAUAGUAUUAAAAUUUGUAAACUUUCCUAAUUUUCUUAUUCAGCAAUAAUUUUAUAACUUGUAAAUUUUCCUUAAUUUUGAAUGUUGAUGUGGACCAAUAAAAUUACUCUUUUAAAUCCUAUGUAAAAACCCUUAGAGCAUGGCAGUUUUACACAGGUUCUAAGGUGGGGUUUAUAAGUUUUUUGGAUUUUAAAAAAAUGAAAAAAGCCCAAUAUCUCGUGAACCGGUUCUUGUUUUAGAGUUUUUGGAGACUGUAUUUAGAAGGGUUCAUAAGUGACGUGUCUGCUUCUCAUUCGUUCAACAAGAAAUUUUUUUACGCUCUCUCUCCUCUUCCACUUUCUCUGGUUUUUCGUUUAUGUCGACAUUUAUUUCUCCUCUUCCAACCACGAUUUUUUCUCUGGUGAUUUCAGAUCAUGGGCUAAAAAAAUGAAAGCUUUGCAUGAACCCACUUGAAAAAGAGCUGGGAUUUUCAUUGGAAUCAAAGCAUCACUCUUUCCUCGAUCAUUGUUACAAAUCGAACAGACGGUAAUGCCGGAGGCUCAAUUCCGAGAUAAAUUUGAUCACGUCGAUUUCUUUCUGGUUUGUUACGUGUUUGAACUGCCAAACCAAUUCAUUCAUUAUAUAAAAUCAAAACCGAGAACAUCAUACUUGAGAUCACUGUUCUUCUUUUGCUUCAUAGUUUGUGAAGGAAAAUUAAACAAAAAAAAUUUUAGAUUUCAUCAAACCCAGUUUAAGAACCUCUAAUGAUGUUCACCAUUGGAGGAAUAAAAAACUUUGGAGUUCUAAACCAUUCUUUAAUCAAAAAUAAAUUAUUAAAAAAUAGCUAUGAACCCCAAGAGGAGGUUCACCAUUACUGGUGCUCUUAGAAACAUAUAGCUUCAACUUUUAUUAGUAUAAGAUGUUUUCUCAUUUUUUUAUUUUAAAAUAUAUCUACUGAUCUACAUAUUUGAUUUACUAAGGUUAUUUUCUUAUAACGUAUCUCGGACUUGGAAAAUAUCAUGAAUGUGAAUUCAAAACAUUGAUUUGACAAACUUUUUCUCUCUCGAAGCUCUUUCGCGUGCUUCCGUCUUGGUGGUCUUCUCCGGUUAUGGCGCUCAUCGCUGGACUGUGAGAAGGCCACCCCAAGGUUAGUUUUGUAAUUCGCGCCCAUCAUCGACGGAAGAGGUUCAUCGGCGGUGGAUUUGGAGGCGACCUAUUCUUCUCUGCAGUACUGUGGCAUGGAAAACCAGCGCGACGAGCGGCUGCGGAAGCUUGGUGGCCUUGACAAAGUGGUGUUGUGGAGUCUCAGUGAUUUGUCUCUGAUCAAGGGCGGCGGAGUGUUUCAUUGGAGAUCUUGCCGCAGUUCUAUCGAGGCUUAGAGAGGCAACUUGUUUUCGCUAGUUUGGUGGGUUGGGCCGUUUGUCGGGGACAGUUCUCCUGGUCGACGGUUGGAUCUACCUAAGGAUGGCGGUUCCUCUCGGUGGUGUUGUCAACUUGUCGGAGUCGGAUACUGUUCCUUACCGGAUUGAAGAUGGUGGUUCACGUGGUAAAAAAGAGGAGAUGUGCAUCGCGCGGCGGUGUUGGUUUCGAAGGAAGAGAAAAUCUGUGUGUCGGUUACUGGAUCUGGUGGUAGUCGACGAUUUGGCCGUGGGUUAUUCCAUGCUUUUGGUCAUGUCACUCCGGGAGUAGGAGUAUUCGGAAUCUUGCUGUGAACGGAUCUGGUUUCCGAAAUUGGACAACCUAGUUUCCAGUUCCUUAAAGGCGACGAUAGCUCUGCGCCGUUCUCGCAUACGCUGGAGGAAGAUAUGCAUGGGCUCGAGCUACUUUUCCCAAUCACAGAUUUAAUCUUAACCUAGUCCAUACGCUUUACCUUAGCCUAUUUCCAAGUCUUUUUUCAUUUUUUUGUUCAGGUUUACCACCGGCGGAGAUGUACUGUUCCGAUACCCUUUUAGGAAUUUUAUUAAUAAAAAUAUAUAUUUUUUUAAAAACAUUCAUUUUGACACGUUUCGACAUUUCAUAGUUUAUAAAACUGUCACAUACUCACAUGGUUUUUGUGAUAUGCUUACAACUAAUAAAUGUCUUUGGUACAAUUGUUUUUCAAUUUUUAGUUCUACCAAUUUUUAUUAUUUUUACGAUAAAAGUUAUCAUUUUAAAAAUAUGUUGAUUGUCACUAGUUCAGUGUUUUAUAUGGGAAAAUGGUCAAAAUUAAUCGAACUAAAUUUGAUGUGUCGAAAAAAAUCCGAACUAAAAUACGGUGCUAAUAACUAUCUAAACUCUAAAUAAUUCAAAUUUCCUAUCUGAAUUCUAAUAUAUGUGUCAAAAUCUAUCUUGACUAACUUUGACAUUAGUAACUGUUAAAAAAUGCUAACGAGGCAUGCUGACGUUGUCAUUUUAAUAAAACGAUAUUUUUUUUGUUGUAAAAAAAAUCAAAAACUUAUCCUCUUACCAGAACUUGACUUUUUAAUUUGUAGUUAAAUGUGUGGACCAGUUGAACCGUGAAACAAUAUUAAUACUUUUUACAAACAUAUUUAUAUAUUAUUGAUAUGCUGCAACAUUACAAUCAUGAGACCUAAAGAGAACAAGUAACAUCCCGUGGAUUAUCAAAGCCAUUACAAAAAGUAACCUGUUUGCUCUAUCGAGAUCUAAAGAGAACGAAUUCUCACCCAAAAUCGAUUUUCUCCUUUUGUUAAGCUUCUUCAAUCUCGUUUUUCUUCUACGGUUUUUUGGUUUUCUCUGCCAGAAUUGGUAGAGAGAGAAUGGAGAAGACGAAGUUGUUGCUGCUGCAAUUCUCCGAACUCAACAUCGAACACAGUUCCCGAUUAAUUGCAGCCUCUCAAUGCUCCAACAAUGGAAUUCGAUGAAGAAGAAGAACUCUCUAACCCUAAUUCGAUUUUGAGGGUGUAUUUUAUCCCCAAUUUAAUAUGUGGUCGUUUCGUUAAUUUUUUUUUUCGAGUUUAGACAUAUAUAUCAAUAACAUAUAAAUGUAUUUGUAAAGAAAAUCAAUAAUAUCUCACGGUUCAGUUGGUCAUUGCUUAAAUGGGGUUUACAAUGGCGCAGAUUGAAGUCCAAGGAAUAGAAAAAAUUUAGAUUUUUUUUAACAACGAAAACGACGUCGUUUUAGUAAGGUGACAACGUGUCAUGCCAAGUCAUAUUCUAUCAUGCCUCGUCAACGUUUUUUAACAGUUGAUUAACGUCAAAGUUAGUCAAAGUAGAUUUUAACACAUAUAUUGGAGUUCGAAUAGGAAAUUUGAAUUAAUUUGGAGUUCAGAUAGUUAUUAGCACCGUAUUUUAGUUUAGAUUUUUUUUAGCAAAUUUAGUUCGGGUUGGUUUUGGCCAUUUUCCCAUGUUUUAUAUAUAUAAGAUUUUAUUGGUUCAUGUGUUUCAAAUAAUAUCGAUCUCCAAUCAAAAUCUUGUUCAUUGGAUUAUCGAUGUAAGAAUUAUCGUCAAUAUCUUAUAUUAUUAGUUUAACAACUUAUAUGUACUUGUUGAAAUCUGGUGUCUUUAAUUCAACACAUCGACAACACCAAGAAAAACAAAAAAAUUGUAAUAUCUAAUGGAUCACUUUUUCCUCAUAAUUUUAUCUUUCUUGGUCUUCUCCAUCCUUUCUCUAAAACGUUUGAUCGGUAGAUGGCGGAACAAGUUUAACUUACCUCCAACUCCAGCUUGGUCACUGCCGGUGAUUGGUGAUUGGUGUAGAAAGUAAAUUUUGAGGAGAUAAAUAUUGCAAUAUAAGAAAACAAAUUGAGACAUAGAAAAACAUUUUAUAAAAGCGGAUUAAGGAAAAAUGAGAAAUGGAGGCGAGAUGAUCUCUUUCCUUAAUUCAAAAUAUCUCCCGCAGUGUGGCGGUUAGAUGAGAUAAUGAAUCCCAUGAUACAACCACUGAUAUUCGUAUAAUCGCAGCACCCGAUUAUUGAUAACACCGGAUUUUGACUAUUUUUAUGGAUCAUUUUAAUAUCUUUUACAGGUGUUUUUACUCCAUUUUCAAAGGUUUUCAAAGGAUUUCUAUAUUUUCGGAUUUUAAAAGACUUUUCAGGUAAUGUGGGAUAAAGAGGCACAAAAUAGAACAAAAAGACUCUUUUGGAUAAAUGCAGACCGUCAGAACUUUCAUGGAGAGACGAAGACCUUCUCACCGUCUGAUCACCCUCAAAAUUGGACAACUUAUAGAAGAAUCAACCAGCUUUCAAAUGCACUUAGUUUGGAGACAUUACAACGGUUGGAUCUCAAGAUAUUCCAUUAGCCCCGGAGCCACGCGGAGUCGGCCAGCAACUCACGCGACCGCGGCCAACAAGCUAUUUGCCGCGGUCAGAAGCUUCCCGAUCGCAGCCAACAAGCCAAUUGCCGCGGUCACAACACUCCCGACCGCGGCAUUCAACCUCCGACUUAAAGCCCACUUAUCUGAAGCCCAAAGUCAUUCCCAGCCUCAAUUCCGGAACCCUAGAGACCAUGGAGUAUUGGAGACUAUAAAUACAUGUCAUUUAGGUCGUUUUUAGAGAGAACCCUAGAUACUUUACAGAAACCCUUUUCUUUUAGCCGUUUUUAUGAGAUUUUUGUAGAAGAUUUUUCAAGUCCGAGUUCUUCAAUAGAGAAGCUUUCUUUAUCUCUUUUCUUUACUGUUUUUCAUUACUUUUAUUAAAACCAAUGAUGAUGUCGAACUCAGCCAUGUCUGAGUAGAUCCCGAGUUGGGCUUAGGGUUCCCGAAAGGGGCUCUCAUAAUCGAUUAAAAAAUUAGAGAUUGAUGUGUUUCUAGGGACAAAAGACGAUGACUUGAAAAAUCAACCCUGGUCUUUUCCCUUAUUGUCCCAUUAGAAAUCUCAGUUUUCUCUUCAAUCUUAUCUUCUUCCUCAGAAUCCUCUUCACAUCGACCACAGGUGUCUUCAUCCAUCGACUUAUUGAAAUUUCUUCUAGUAUAAGUUAAACCAAAAUGUGUGGAAACUGACUAUUCAACACAAAAGACUUUUCACUCUCUUCGUUCAACGUGAAUAACACUUCGUAGCAAAUGACUAGAUGGUGAGCCAAGCGAAGCUGAGUGGAAAUGGAGCACUGACUAUAUGUAUAUAAAGAGAUGGCAUGAAACCAAUUUAACCAUCACAAUUUCCAUUUGGUCGCUUCUUUUUCACUAUUGAUUUUCAAGAAAGUUAAAAAUUAGCUUAAAGAAAUAACGAAAGGCUCUUGAAACUCAAUGAGUACCAUUCAUAUUUCUCUUUCUUUUCUCCUCUUGUUCGUUUUUUAUUUUCAUGACGUGUUUGCGUCUCCUACUAGACACUUGUGUCGUCCAGAACAAAGGGAUGCACUUCUCGAGUUCAAGAAUGAGUUUGAGAUUCGGAAGCUUUCUUUUUUUCAGUGUUAUGUUAAUGGUAGCGUUGUUAUUGGAAUGGUAUCAAGUGCGAUGCCAAAUCUGGGGAAGUGAUCGAGCUAGACCUCAGUUGCAGCUGUCUCUACGGCAAGUUGCGUUCCAAUACCUCUGUUUAGGCUUCACAGCUUUUGUUUUCUCACCACUUUAUACCUUUCAUAUUAGGUCCCCAAAUCCCGUUCUCAAUUGGAAAUCUUUCUCUUCUCACUUCUCUCGACCUUUCUGAAUAUGGGUUUUCGGGUCAGAUUCCAUCUUCAAUUGGAAAUCUUUCACAGCUCACCUCGCUUGAACUUUCUUCCAAUCAGUUUUCGGGUCAGAUUCCAUCUUCAAUUGGAAAUCUUUCACAGAUCACCACUCUCCGUUUUUCCUUUAAUCAGUUUUCGGGUCAGAUUCCGUCUUCAAUUAAAAAGCUCUCUCAUCUCGAAACUCUUGACCUCAGUCAUAACAGACUCACUGGUGAAAUCCCAGAUUCUUUUGCCAGUUUGAAAAAUUUGACCGAGUUAAAUGUUAGUUUCAAUAAGCUUAGUGGUAAUUUUCCAAUUUCACUUCUAAAUUCGAUCAACUCACAGGAACGCUUCCUCCAAACAUUAGCUCACUCUCCAACUUGGAGUGGUUUUAUGCAUAUGACAACGAUAUAGUUGGAACCAUUCCUUCUUCUCUCUUCACCAUUCCUUCUUUGACACAAAUUGAUUUGUCAAAUAACCAACUGAACGGCAUUCAUGAGUUUGGGAAUAUACCUUCACCAACAAAGCUAGUGAGGUUAGAGCUUGGCGGUAACAACUUGAGAGGGCCAAUCCCGAGAUCCAUUUCCAAAUUAGUCAACCUCUAUUACCUUGACCUUUCCAAUUGGAACACCCAAUUAGGCCCAAUUGACUUGAGUAUCUUCUCGCAUCUCAAGUCACUCCGAUUUCUUGGCUUAUCCCAUUUGAACACCACCACUACGAUUGACUUGAAUGCCAUCUUAUCAUUUUUCCAGUCGCUUGGAUCAUUGGAUCUCUCAGGGAAUCAUGUUUCAGCCGAAAACAAGAGCUCAGUUUCAGAUCCUCCUUCGCAAAUGAUUAGUUCUUUAAACUUGUCAGGCUGCGGUAUUACCGAAUUUCCAGAGAUCAUAAGAACCCAACAGUCUAUGAGAUUUCUAGACAUUUCCAACAACAAAAUCAAAGGUCAAGUGCCUGGCUGGUUAUGGACGCUACCAGAUCUGGAGUACGUGGAUCUUUCCAACAACACUUUCGUCAGUUUCGAAAGACCAACGAAACAUGGACUAUCCUCUGCCUUUAUGUACUUGUUUGGCUCCAAAAACAAGUCUAAGGUCCCUUGACGUUGGUCAUAACCAACUGGUGGGAAAGCUUCCAAGAUCUUUGAUCCAUUUCUCUGCCCUUGAAGUUCUUAAUGUGGAAAGAAACAGAAUCAACGACACGUUUCCGUUCUGGUUGAGUUCUCUACAAAACCUGCAAGUUCUUGUCUUACGCUCCAAUGCAUUCCAUGGACCGAUUCAUCGAGCCUCCUUCCUUCAGCUCCUUCCUUCGCAUAAUCACUUCAACGGAACUUUGCCAUCGGACUAUUUUGUGAGCUGGAGUAAAAUGUCAUCACUUGGGACAGAGGAAGGUCGCUCAGAUCUAUACUACAUGGGAAAUGCAUAUUACGAAGAUUCAAUGGUCUUGAUGAAUAAAGGUGUACCAUUAGAGCUGGUACGUAUCCUUGAAAUCUACACAGCACUCGACUUCUCCGGAAACAGGCUUGAAGGAGAGAUUCCAAGCACCAUCGGCCUAUUGAAAGAGCUUCAUGUGCUCAACUUGUCAAACAAUGCUUUCACUGGCCACAUUCCAUCAUCUAUGGGUAACCUGACAGCUCUCGAGUCACUUGACGUUUCUCAAAACAAGCUUUCAGGAGUGAUCCCACAAGAGCUAGGGAAUCUCUCGUACCUUGAAGUCAUGAACUUCUCCCAUAACGCAGCCUUGCUCUUCCUUCGAAGACAACCCUGGACUUUUUGGCCCUUCUCUUGACGAAGUUUGCAAAGAUAUACACAAGACAUCAUCGCAAGAGAAUGAAACACCGGAGGAGGCAGAGGAAGAAGACGAAGAGGUGUUUAGUUGGAUUGCAGCUGCAAUAGGAUUUGGACCAGGCAUUGUAUUAGGACUGACGAUUGGAUACAUAUUGGCCUUCUACAAACCGAGGUGGUUCACGAGUCCUUUUGGCCGAAACAAACACAGAAGCAGAAGCACCACAGCUCAUUAAGAGAGGUAAUCUUCUGAAUUUCAUAGAUUAAAGACUAUGUAUAAUAUAACGAAAGUUUCUGGGUUAAUGUAUACUGUAUGUGAAAAUUAACUUUUUACGCCGUUUUUGUUUGUAUAGCGUUCUUAAACCCAAGAUGAAGAAUCUUUGAAAAACAGAAUGAAGCAACCAGACCAUAAGUAGAGAAGAAGCUUGGGGGAGAAGGCAACUCAUUUUAUCAAAGUCUAAAUAUCAGUGAUCGUUUCCGGUUUAGUUUGGUGUGUUUAUCAUAUACUCUGUUUUUAGCCAAUGUUUGUGUUUCUCUGUAAUUGAACAAUGAAAGAAUGUUUACAAAGCUCAAACUUAUUCCCAUUUCUCUGUGAUUGGACAUGAUUUGAGAGAGGUAAUAAUGUUCUUGCUCCGAAUAAAUCAAUCAUUCUUCUGCCAAAUGAAGAACUAAGAUUCAACACACAUCUCAGAAAAUUGAUCCUUUUUCUCUUUUGGUAAUAUUAAUUAGCUGAGUAAAAUGAUAACUUAAUUAGUUUAUUGAAAGAUAUUUCACUGAGAAAUAUAUUAGUUAGUGGCGAUCAGGAUCAGCGACCAAUUAAAGCUAUAGAUAUAGUUGCUUAAAACCCAAGCUUUGCCAUUACAAUGAGGAAAAAUCAUCUCACAAAUCAUUCCACUUUCCAACUAAUGAAACUCUACAAUAGUCAAAUGACUCAAAUCGGAAUUAGAAAGUAUACAUACACACAUAAUUUAAGGUCACAAUGACAAAAUCUUCGGUCUUACCAAUAAGAGUAUAAGUAUUCAUCAAAAGACAUCUUCUAAAAUGGAUUAUAUUAAAAAAAUUUGGUGAAAACAAACAAGAAAUUUUUACUGCUUAAUUCUUUUUGUUUUUAAAAACCAAAAGGUAAAUGGAAGUCGCUCUAAUUUUUACUUAUAAACCAAAACAAGAAAUUUUCAGUUAUAUCGUUCUAAGAUAAUGCAAUUGAUAGUAUAAUCUAUACUACUCUAUACUCCACUGAUACUUUUUCGUUUUUAAGCAGACAACUUUUCAGAGUACAAAUCUUUUGUUAUUUUUAUUCCUGGGAGAUGUAUAUCCUAUAAACAAAACUGUGUUAAAUGGAAGGACUUCAUGGACACCAAAACCAGAGGAGAAACGAAGACAGACGGUUUAGAAAUAUUUUGAUCACAUCAAAAAAAUAUAAUUCGAUAAUUUUUAUCAGAUUACAGCAUCACAAAGUCAGUGCAAAAUCAUAUAAAAAAAAUUCGAAUAAAGAAAAAACGUAUCAUGCCAAACGAAACCAAACAAAUAAAUAGAUAACAGUUGACUGACCGAGUCAGUCAUGGACAAAAACGAAGACUUGAAAAGUCAACUCCGGUCUUCUUCCUUAUUGUCCCACCAAUAAUUUACUUUUUUUCCUUCAAUCUCAUCUUCUUCCUCAAUCCUCUCAACAUCGAUCACAUAUUUCUUCAUCCAUUGACCUCAAAAACUUGAUUUUCACUAUUGACUCUCUUUCUUUCUCUCUCUCUCUAGAUUUUCCAACAAAGCUAUGGAGAAACUCUGUUUUCGAAACUCAUUUUCUCGCUUUAUGACGACUGUGGUCAUUGUUCUUCUUCCUCGUUGCACUCUUUCUGCUACUUCUACAUAUUCUCAUCGUCCCGAGAAGUUUUACGUCAACUGUGGGUCGGAUUCUAUUGUCACUUAUGGUGGUCGGACCUUCGUCGGAGAUAUGAUCUCCGGUGGUAACUCCGUUUCUUUCAACAGUAAAGGAACUGAAGCCAUCAACCAAUCAGGAUCAGGAAUCUAUGAAACGGUUAGGAUAUUCAGACGCCCUUCUUCUUACAAGUUCCAACUCGAUUCCAUUGGUCUGCACUUCGUGCGUCUCCAUUUCUCUGCUGUCUCUUCUCGGACAGAGCUUUUAACUGCUCGUUUCACAGUCUCAGCUACUUCUCACCUGAAAAGUUUCUCGCUUCAGAAUUUCAAUGAGACCCCACGAGUUGAGGAGUUUCUCCUGAUGAUUGACUCGCCAGAAUUCGAAAUUCGAUUUGUGCCCUAUCAUUCAUCCAUGGCUUUUGUCAACGCCAUCGAAGUGUUCUCUGCUCCUAAUGACCUCGAAAUUCCGUCAGACUCCGACAAGAAUCUGCAUACGGUUUACAGAUUAAACGUAGGAGGCAAGAAUAUCACACCAGAAAACGACACCUUGGGAAGAACUUGGUCAGUUGACGAGGACUUCCUCUACGAAAAAGAUUCUGCGAGGAACAUUAAUUCAACACAAAAGCCUAACUACGAGUCAGGGACAGCGACGCCAUUCACUGCUCCUGAUUUUGUCUAUCAGACAGCGAAAACGAUGAACCAUAGCUCGAAUGAGGGGAUGGCAGAUGGGAUGUUGAUGAACGUUACUUGGUCAUUUAAGGUCAAUAGCAACUCUAGACACUUCAUCAGGGUUCACUUCUGUGAUAUCAAGAGUGAAUCACAAAAUCCCGACUCCGAUUUCUAUCUCUAUGUAAACGGACAAUCACGACUAGAUGUAAAGCCUUCAGAGCGUAUUAGGUUGGUGACUCCGUUUUUCAAAGAUGUGAAUGUCUCUGAUGGUUUUGGACUCUUGAAUGUUACAAUAGGUACUAAGGAUUCCACUAAGGAUGCUGGUUUUCUGAAUGGUCUGGAGGUGAUGGAGUUUUUGAAAAAGUCAGAUUCUUCAGAUAAAAGUAGUUUCCGGGUUUACAUCAUCGCUGGCUGUGUU